ACGUAGGGGGCAAGCGUUGUCCGGAAUUAUUGGGCGUAAAGCGCGCGCAGGCGGUCAUUUAAGUCUGGUGUUUAAGGCCAAGGCUCAACCUUGGUUCGCACUGGAAACUGGGUGACUUGAGUGCAGAAGAGGAGAGUGGAAUUCCACGUGUAGCGGUGAAAUGCGUAGAUAUGUGGAGGAACACCGGUGGCGAAGGCGACUCUCUGGGCUGUAACUGACGCUGAGGCGCGAAAGCGUGGGGAGCAAACAGGA
rnacentral:rRNA from 1 species